CCCUCCUUCCUUGCCUCAGCAGCAACGCAUACCAGAUUUCCUUUUUUUGAAAGAAAGAAAAGCAGAAAAACAAGAAGGGGGAGGGAGGCUGGGAAGAGAAAUCCGAGAGGGGAGGAGGGCGGCGCAACCGCCGAUGCCUGUCACCAUGCCGAUCGUCCUCACCACCGCUGCUGGAGGAGCCGUGACCAAUGCGUCGCUGUCGCUAAAGCUUCGCGCCGCUGUCCAACCGCCAUCGCGCCAUCGUCUGACCGAGGAGGGGGAAGAGCGCCGCGCCUCUCUGUCUUGCCGCCGCUGAACUCGCGCUCAGGAAGAGAGGAGAUGCGCGAAAGGGAGCCACUGCGGGGAAGCCAUCGCCGCCUGCCACCAUCGCCGAGCGUGGGACCGCCGUCGAACCCGUCCCUUGCUGCCGCCGUUGAAGCUGCGAACAGAGAAGAGGGAGAGGGAUGAGUCGCGAGGAAGCAAUGCUGCCCUUCCAUCGCCGCUGCUGCCACGGUUGUGGGAGAGGGUAUCCCGUCGCCGUGGGUGGUUCCACCACACUUGCUGCCGUGCCGUCAGAGUCUGCCACCAUGGUUGUCGGUCUUCUAGUUGCUGCUGUGGCUGUGGGUCUGCUGUGUAUGGUCGCCGGAAAACCUUUCUGCCACCGGAGCUGCCCUGAAACACCAUCGGAGUCUGACAGCGCCGUUGCCGGAGUUUUGAAGCCACCGGAACCACCGCCGGAGCUUCUGGCUACUUCUGUCGUCGCCGGAAAGGUUGCCGUUUUUCUAGUUGAUCCACCGGAGUUUCUGGCCGCUGCCAGAGCUGUUGCUGCCGCCGGUUUGAAAUCACAGCUGCAUCGUGUUGUCAUACCGUGUUGCUGGGGUUAUUGCGAAUGUGGCUUGAAGCUGAGGUUGCGGUUGUUGAUUUCAGGUUGAGGCGGAAAGGACUCUGUGAGACGUUUGGGUUAUGGAAUUUGAAUUUUGAGGAUAUGUGCACAGAAGUCACGAAGGGUUUAUUUUAGUUGUUGUUGAGAUGUUCUGUAUUGUCUUAGUUAUGGUUUAUUGUACCCUCGCCUUUAUCUUGAUAUAUUCUGUAAGAGGGAUAGGAAUUUUAUUGGGUAAUGUUUGUAAUAUUAUUUAUAAAUAUAUGUAUCUAUAUGGAUGUAUCCUUUAUGAGUUUUUGUAAGUUAUAUGGUAUCUAUGGAUGUACGCUGUCGAACGAAAGUAUUCUUGGGAGCGUUAUUGCGGUUUAAAGUUUUAAACAGACUCAUAUUUUAAUAUUAAA